rnacentral:tRNA from 1 species
GCGGGUGUAACUCAAUGGUAGAGUGUCAGCCUUCCAAGCUGAAUGUUAGGGGUUCGAGUCCCCUCACCCGCU